rnacentral:rRNA from 1 species
UACGUAGGGGCCUAGCGUUGUCCGGAUUUAUUGGGCGUAAAGAGCUCGUAGGCGGUUUGGUGAGUCGGGUGUGAAAUCUCCACGCUCAACGUGGAGGAGCCACCCGAUACUGCCAUGACUAGAGUCCGGUAGGGGAGUGUGGAAUUCCCGGUGUAGCGGUGAAAUGCGCAGAUAUCGGGAGGAACACCAGUGGCGAAGGCGACUACCUGGCCUGUUCUUGACGCUGAGGCGCGAAAGCUAGGGGAGCAAACGGG